rnacentral:misc_RNA from 1 species
AUAUCUUUGCCCUCUUUCUCACCCUCUCUCCCUUCUCUCUAAAAAGUUUUAUUGUCUUCCAAUUCCCUCAACGAUCUCCCCAUGAAAACCACCUCCAACCCCUUCACAAACCCAAGAAUCCCAUCUUUCUCUUAGCCCCUCACCUAAUAAUAUACUUUGCAUCUCUUCAAAAAUCUUCCUCUAUCUCUCUCAAAUGGAAAGACAGAUGAACGCCAUAACUUCUUCUCCAGCUUCACCCACAACCUUUAUCCAUGCAGAUGCCAACACCUUCAGAGACCUCGUCCAAAAGCUCACGGGUUUAGCUGGCAGUAACUCAGAAAAACUCCCCAUCACUCUUCCGGCUGGACUGUCCUCAAAGCUUUCCCAUCCCGUUGACUCCACUGGCCAUCGCCGCUCACCUUUCAAGCUCCAAGAAAGAAGACACACCAUGAGAAAACUCGAAAUCAAACUUGGUCUCGCCACCUCUCACUGCAACUCAUCACCAACUCACUUCUCCCCCCGCCGCCAAACUCAUCAUCACCGACUCGACUCACUGAUCCCGAGUCCGGUGACUCCACUUUCCUCAGAGUCACUCUUUAUCCGUAGCCCUGGAACUGAAUCACCAUCGUCCCCUGCAGUUUCGGAGGAGGAAAAGGCAAUAGCAGAAAAAAGGUUUUAUCUGCAUCCAUCACCGAUGACUACACCGAGAGGAAGCGACCCACCACAGCUCUUGACCCUUUUUCCACUGAGUUCUCCUAGUCAGAUAAAUCAAGAUUAGGGUUUUACUUCAUUUCUUGAAAAAGUGUUGUAGGAAAACACGUAUAAAUCUUGGCUUUCAAAGACUGGUAUAUAUACAUCUUGCAUACGCGAUCAUAUCCUUAGUGUC